GGGUUCCAGGUGGUGUUGGGCGGGGCGAGCAUGCGGCAUGGGCCGCUGGCCCUUGGUACAAAUGUCCUUAUGGAUAACUCUGGCGGCGAUGGCGGACGAUGUCUCAUCCUGCUCCUAGCCGGCGAUGGUGGAUAAACGCUACGGCAGCGCGCAUGCCCCCCUCCUCAACAUCUCAGCGAUCGUAACUCUGUUUUUAAUUCAAUCCUCCUCUCUUCUUCUUGGUACAGGGAACUUUGGUGGGCAACCUAUUCUUCUCCAUGGUGCUCCAGCAACUACAUAAGCAUACCGGGCCUCUCAGAUUGUUGCCCUGCAGGAUUCACGUUGGAGGGGAUGGAGGGCACUGUUCAAGAGAGGACAUGUCGAUGGGGAACAACAAUACACCAGGCUCCCCUGUAUUUCUUUCCGUUUCAUGUACUAUUCCUUCUUCCACCAAACAAUUUCUUUGUCCUGACAUCCUGCCAAUCCAAUUUGUACAUACAGGUAAUGUUUUUUGGCGGUGGUCAAUUGACUUGAGCAUAUUUGGAGACUGGUAGGCGCGCGGCCGUUCUGCCCGAGUCACCACCAGAGAGAGGAUUCGAGAGGACAUGGGCAGAUUCUCUAGAGGAUUUUGUACAUUGAGAAACUUCCUCUUCAUCUAUCUGUUCUUUUCUCGAAAAACUCGAGCGGCUGGACUUAUGCACUUGUCUGUUGAUAGUCAAUGUCCACAACCCCUUGCGUAUUCAGGUCCCCUCUUCUUUCCCCCCAAUAUGUCUAUUUCCAAAUUUUCACGUCCUUGGUUCUCUCCAUGUGACCUGUGGCUGAAAUCUAAAAUUAGUAUGUGCACCUACCAAUGGGGCAUCUCAUGAGAAUGGCGUUAAAACAUUUGGUGUAUUGAUGGACAUGCUAUUUUCUUAUUGCAUAUUUGUUUAGCUCAACACUAAAGAAGGUGUACUGAUGACAUUUAACCUUUUUUUGUUAUUGCAAGCUUCUUAGCUCUAUAAUUUUGUAAACCUACUAACAUCACUUAAUUUGAAUUAUUUUUUGUUUUUCUUUUGCUUGGCUUGCUGGUAACAAUGUACUUGAAAAGUCUAAUCUGCAACCUUUCACUUAAAGACCUUGGAAAUAAAAUGACAAGAAUUUGGUAUACAUUUCUUGAAUUAAAUUUCUGUCUUAUAUUGCAAUUUAUAUUAUCAACGAUUUUUGAUGAACCGAAU
rnacentral:lncRNA from 1 species